rnacentral:lncRNA from 1 species
AUAUAUACUCUACAUAUAUACACAUAUAUAUGUAUAUGGCUUCUGAGCUAUAGCUUGAGUAACUUGUUAACUUGUAAUACUUGAGUAACUUGUAAUAUUGUAUGCUGCCAAAGCAUUUUUUCACUUAAACAUCUCAUCGUGAUUUUCAGAAAUUUAGAAUCGGAAAAUCGUUUUUGAUCCCACUCAUGGAUAUAUAAACUUAGGGCUAAAUCAGAAAAGCAAGCACAUAGUUUUAGACAAUGACACUUAUUUGCUUAAUUACUCUAUGGAGCCAGGUGGAUAUGUACAGGUUAUGUCCUUUUGCAUGCUUGAAUUUAUAGUGAGUUGAAUCUGUUCAGACAGCCAUCAGUGAUGUGUCCGUGAGGAACACAGAAAAUGUUUCUUUUUGUUUAAAGGAAUUUAUUUAUUUACUUAUUUUUACUUUUUUUUAAUCAUACUUUAAGUUCUAGGAUACAUGUGCACAACGUGCAGGUUUGUUACGUAUGUAUAUAUGUGCCAUGUUGGUGUGCUGGACCCAUUAACUCGUCGUUUACAUUCGGUAUAUCUCCUAAUGCUAUCCCUCCCCUCUCCCCCCAAAAAUGUUUCUUUUGAAUGCAGUUGACUCAGUUACCUAAGAUGUGAGUGAAGUGGAAAGGAGUUUUCACGAGGCGCAAUAGAUGUAACUGAAAGCUUCGAGAAGUUUAAAGGACUUGCAAGGAAAUCUACUGAAAUAAGCCCCAUUCCACCUGGGCAGAAGCACUCAGACGCCAAACCCCACCUUCUGUCCUGAAAUUCACCUUCCACUAGGAGAGUUUGCUUUUCUAAUGCUUCAAAUGCACAACGGGAGAUGUUCUGACUUCAGGGUUUCUACCCUUCACUGCUGUAAUCUGCUGCCUGUAUGACAUGCGAUCUGGUUUACACCGUACAGCUUAUCAUCUUCAGCUUGUGGCCCCUUCCUUGUUUCCACCUUGCUAUUCAGGAGGGCCUGUAAGGGUAUCUGGAUUCCUUGAGCUGUAGAUGCAGGACAGUGAGAGGGAGGGAGGUAGUUCUCUGGUCUAAUUUCAGUUUCCUAACUGAGGGUACAUGCCUUCCCUGAAUGAUCAUCAUCAAAAAUAUCCAGCCCUUCAUGGAAGACACCACCCCUCCUCAUAGAUGAGUCCCUGAGCUUAUGAUCUCAAAAGGAAAUCCUUAUCAGAAUACAACAGAAUAAGGACAUAGUUUCAUUACAGUUAUAAUAAUAAAAGUAGUUCUUCUUUAUUAAGCUGCAUGAGGUACUUUGUAUUGUAUUAGUAUUCACGUUUCACAGAUAAAAAUACCACAUCUUCACAUAAAUGGCUUGGUUAAAGCUCACAGCCAGUAAAUAAGAGAGCUGGUUAGGAAUCUAGUUCUGAUUUCAGAGUCACUGUUUUGUCUGUCUGUUUGUUU